UUGGAGGGCAAGUCUGGUGCCAGCAGCCGCGGUAAUUCCAGCUCCAAUAGCGUAUAUUAAAGUUGUUGCAGUUGAAAAGCUCGUAGUUGAACUUCGGGGUCUACCCAUUGGUCAGGCUUAAUUGUCUGCACUGGUGAGAUGGAUCUCUACCUUCUGAGGAACUUUCAUGCCAUUUAUUUGGUGUGAUGGGAAAUCAGGACUGUUACUUUGAAAAAAUUAGAGUGUUUAAAGCAGACUAUCGUCUGAAUACAUUAGCAUGGAAUAAUGAAAUAGGACGGACUGAUUCUAUUUCGUUGGUUUCUAGAAUCACCGUAAUGAUUAAUAGGGAUAGUUGGGGGCAUUAGUAUUCAAUUGUCAGAGGUGAAAUUCUUGGAUUUAUUGAAGACUAACUACUGCGAAAGCAUUUGCCAAGGAUGUUUUCAUUAAUCAAGAACGAAAGUUAGGGGAUCGAAGACGAUCAGAUACCGUCGUAGUCUUAACCAUAAACUAUGCCGACUAGGGAUCGGACGAAGUUAAUUUUAUAAUGACGCGUUCGGCGCCUUACGGGAAAC
rnacentral:rRNA from 1 species